rnacentral:tRNA from 1 species
UGAGUAGAAGCCAAAAUAGUGUGGCGUUUAAUUGUUAAUUAAGUUUUUGUAGUGUCUUAUUACCUACUUAG